GCUACCUCAGCUGGUUGAGCAUCUGCUUUGUAUGCAGAAUGUCCCAGGUACAAACCCUGGCAUCUGCA